rnacentral:rRNA from 1 species
UGGUGGAGCGAUUUGUCUGGUUAAUUCCGAUAACGAACGAGACUCUGGCCUAUUAAAUAGACGGUAUAUUUAAAAGUAUAUCGCGCUUCUUAGAGGGACAAGCGGCGUCUAGCCGCAUGAAAUAGAGCAAUAACA